UACGAAGGGGGCUAGCGUUGUUCGGAAUCACUGGACGUAAAGGGCGCGUAGGCGGCCGAUCAAGUCGGGGGUGAAAGCCUGUGGCUCAACCACAGAAUUGCCUUCGAUACUGUUUGGCUUGAGACCGGAAGAGGUAAGUGGAACUGCGAGUGUAGAGGUGAAAUUCGUAGAUAUUCGCAAGAACACCAGUGGCGAAGGCGGCUUACUGGUCCGGUUCUGACGCUGAGGCGCGAAAGCGUGGGGAGCAAACAGG
rnacentral:rRNA from 1 species